rnacentral:rRNA from 1 species
AAUGGCGGCCAUAGCGGUGGGGAUACACCCGGACUCAUUCCGAACCCGGCAGUUAAGUCCACCCGCGUCGAACACGGUACUGAGGUACGAGAGUCCUCGGGAACUGUUCAACGCUGCCAAUA